rnacentral:rRNA from 1 species
UAUAACGCGUGAGGGAAGCUGCCGCGCGCACGGGGGUAGCCAUCGGAAACGGUGGGUAAUUCCGGAUACGCUCGCCGCCCGGGUAGGGGGGGUGAGGAAAGGCGAAAGCCGGCGCGCGAGGCACCUGCGGCCGAUUAGCUGGUUGGUGGGGUAACGGCUCACCAAGGCGAUGAUCGGUAGCUGGUCUGAGAGGAUGAUCAGCCACACGGGGACUGAGACACGGCCCCGACUCCUACGGGAGGCAGCAGCAAGGAAUUUUCCGCAAUGGGCGCAAGCCUGACGGAGCAACGCCGCGUGCGGGAGGACGCCUUUCGGGGUGUAAACCGCUGUUCGUGGGGACGAAGCACUGACGGUACCCACGGAGGAAGGCCCGGCUAACUACGUGCCAGCAGCCGCGGUAAUACGUAGGGGCCGAGCGUUGUCCGGAGUUACUGGGCGUAAAGCGUGCGCAGGCGGCGCGUUCUGCCCGGCGUGAAAGCCCCCGGCUCAACCGGGGAACGUCGUCGGGGACGGGCGCGCUUGAGGGCGGCAGGGGCUGGUGGAAUUCCCGGUGUAGUGGUGAAAUGCGUAGAGAUCGGGAGGAACACCUGUGGCGAAUGGCGGUCCAGCUGGGCCGACCCUGAUCUCUACGG